rnacentral:rRNA from 1 species
UGGUGGCCAUGGCGAUAGGGUCCACCUCUUCCCAUCCCGAACAGAGAAGUUAAGCCUAUCAGCGCCGAUGGUACUGCCCCAAAAGGUGGGAGAGUAGGUCGCCGCCAU